AUUGAACGCUGGCGGAAUGCUUUACACAUGCAAGUCGAACGGCAGCACGGACUUCGGACUGGUGGCGAGUGGCGAACGGAUGAGUAAUGUAUCGGGACGUGCCAAGUCGUGGGGGAUAACGUAGUGAAAAUUACACUAAUACCGCAUACGGUCCAUGAAUGAAUGUGAGGACACGGAACCGCUCGGCCGGGUGGACAGGCCGAUAUCGGAUUAGGUAGUGUGUGGGGUAAUGGCCCACCAAGCCAACGAACUGUAGCUGGACUGAGGGGCCGACCAGCGACAUUGGAACUGAGACACGGUCCAGACUCCUACGAGAGGCAGCAGUGGGGAAUUUUGGACAAUGGGCGAAAGCCUGAUCCAGCCAUUCCGCGUGCAGUAUGAAGGCCCUCGGGUUGUAAACUGCUUUUGUACAGAACGAAAAGGUUUCUACUAAUACUAGGAGCUCAUGACGGUACUGUAAGAAUAAGCACCGGCUAACUACGUGCCAGCAGCCGCCGUAA
rnacentral:rRNA from 1 species